rnacentral:rRNA from 1 species
GACCGUAAUUAUAACAGUCCUAAAGUAGCGAAAUUCCUUGUCGGGUAAGUUCCAACC